CUUAUGCCGGCGACCGGCGGACGGGUGCGUAACGCGUAUGCAACCUACCUUUUACAGGGGCAUAACACUGAGAAAUUGGUACUAAUUCCUCAUAAUAUCUGAGACGGCAUCGUUUUGGGUUGAAAACUCCGGUGGUAAAAGAUGGGCAUGCGGCGCAUUAGCUAGUCGGCGGGGUAACGGCCCACCGAGGCGACGAUGCGUAGGGGUUCUGAGAGGAAGGUCCCCCACAUUGGAACUGAGACACGGUCCAAACUCCUACGGGAGGCAGCAG
rnacentral:rRNA from 1 species